GUUCCUUGUCUCCUUCCAGCUAGCGCUGGCCCUUGUCCAACAUCUAUGUGAGCUGUUCCAGCUCACUGACCUGUCAAAAGGUCAGUUGACAGCGGCCUUGGGAGUGCCUUGUGAAACUGCAGCACACAGCUUCUCCUCCAUCAUCACAGCCUUGCAGAGAAGGAUGGAAGGCAGCAUCUGGACUGCAUCUAAGUAAUGCAGGGACAUCCUCCACUAGACUAGAUUGCUUAUGGCCUCAUCCAACCUGGCCUUGGACACCUCGGAGCCUGUAUCAAACUACUGCAAGUUUGGUUAAGGAAGGAUCAAGUGCAUCUGUUACACCUGCCCUGCCAGCUCCUCCGUCCUACUGCCCUGACAAGGCUAUCAGUUUGGAGCAACUGCAAACCUUAGAAACAGAUAAGACUCUUCAACAAUUUCAGUAAUUUCUUGGAUUAAUACUGGAUUAAUUUAAUCUCUGAAAAAGCAAUGACUCUUGAUACAAGACCUUGUCACUCUAAGCUGAUCUGGCAGGUUCAGACAUAACUCACAUAAGCUGGAACAUUAGAGCUUAUUUCGGAGAGAGAGGCUGAGAUCUGCAGAAUUAGCACAGAUUCCUGCUACUUGAGCUAAUGGAGUGCCACUUACCAGUUGUGGGUUGUCAUCCUCUGAGUAAAGCACUCCCAGAAGAGGACUGCCAUUGGGCACUGGUGAGAAACAUGAACCAAGGAUUUGCUUCUCUGCUGGGGUAACUAGCAAUCAGCACUUGCAGGUGCCACUGAGCUGGUGACGACCACAGGACUGCAGCCUGAAGAUAGGAGGACUGAAUUACAGCUUUGAAGACCAAUGUCAAGAGGAAGAAAGUAUGUGGGGAAAACAUGGUAUGAAAAUGAAAGAAAAACAUUAACCAACGCAUCCAGAACCAUGAGAAAUGUUGGAGCGCGACAUCAUAUGCCAGUGGAAUCCAAAUGACAAAUGGCAAAGGUCGAGAUUGUGGUCACAAACUGUGUAUCUAAACAGAAGGCAAAAUGCUGCAAGAAUAACACUUCAUCUAGGAUUUAACUAAUUGAGAUUUCCAGAAGAUGCAGAGGAUUUAAUAAAACUCACAUAUCAUGAACAGAAAUAACAAGUAGCAUAGCAAGUUAUUAAGAUCACUGUGAGUGUGGAAGAAGAGAGAUGAAGCAUUCUCAUCUUCUGGUUGUUUCCUGAAGCUAAUCAACAUGAUUUUCAUGCUUUCUAAACUGACUCCGUGAACCUUGUCAGCAUCUUAAUUUUUUCUCCGUUGCUUUGUCUUAUCCCCGUGAAACGCUAGAGAACUCAACAAGUCAUAGCCUGCUUCUGACAGAAGCUACACAAAACUGGCAACUGUUUCCAGACUGAAGAUGGUACAGCAUGCAUUGCCCCAUUGUUAGUUUGUCUAUAUCUCCUUUUAUAAGCAGCCCCAAGCCAGUUCCACCUGGGGAGCUUACUGGACAAAUGCAGUGCAACUGUGGCCCAGAAGCAGUGCAGCCCAGGUGAGUAUAAUGGGGUGCAGCAAUUUUCAUUAAUUGUUUCCACAUUUUAUGUAAUUGAUGCAGUUAAAAGGUUUUUCUUUCACCCAGAUCUUCCUAUACUGCAUGGCAGGUUAUCUUGGGAUGGAUUUCUAUUCCUCCCUAAUGUUUUUUGUUCGUGGUGUGAGUACUCCUGAUGUAGAAUGCCACCACUGAUGAGAAGGAAAGCAAGGCUCAACAUUAGAAUUCAAGUUAUACAUGUUCAAAAAUGUAUUUAAAGUCAGAUGUUGUUCAGAAGCCAUGUGACACAGACUUUACAGUGCCGUUUAUAUGAGCUUAGCAAACAAAUUCCAAGGGGAAAAAAACAACCGGCAGAAACCACAAUCAUGCAAUUUUACUUAUUUUUGGGAUCCUGCCUCAUGGGGAUCACUAUUUCCAAGAAAAUGCCUGCUCAGAGACUUCGUAGAGUGAUCUUCAUACUGUUUGAUAAUAUCUUGAUUUUCCUGUGUUGACAUCUAUUGGAGAAAUAGCUUAUACUAGUUACAAACCCCACCAAAUCUGAUUAUCUUAUGACUUGCUAUCAUUCCUCACAAAUAUAUUAUUGUCUUUCUGA